GCGGCCCGCAAUGGAGCGGCCCCAGUGCAGGAAGGCACCGCGGAAGAAGCGCCACUUGUCCCCGCUACCGAGGGCGGCCUUGCUGCCGGGCGGAGUCGUCGGCCGGACCGAUGCCUCCCAGCGCUGCCGGCGCCGCCUCUUCGACAGCGGGACCCCCCGCGGGCCGAAGUCCGGCAACCUGAAGAGAAAGCCCUGUGUGAAAACCCUCCCCAAAAUUACAGAAAGCUUUGAAGUCACCCAAGUGAGAGAUUCGCACAACCCAAGCAAUCAAAUGAAUGUCAAAGAAACAACAGACCUGGAUAAAAGAGAAGAGGCAGCUGAAGAAAGCAGUGUACCGCUGAAGGAGUCCCUGAUAAUCAACAACGAAAGUAAAGACAGUUUGAAAAAUGCUGAUGUGACUUCAAGUGCAGGAAUGACUCUUCCCACAGGCGUUACAACCUAUCUCCUAGAGUGUUUAGAUGUAGAUUCAACUGUAGAUUGUAACACAGGUCCUAGUGACAACCUGAACAGUUGCCCAUCCCCUGAAAUAUUCAGAGAUGAUGAUUCAGAAAGAAGUUAUUUUCACACUGAGAACUUCAGCAAGUGCAAGAACUCUACUCUCCUGGAUUCCAGCAAAGCAGUGGCUAUAGAUAAGAUGCCACAGAUCUCACAUCUGUCAGCAAUAUUAGAAAGAGACCACCAAAUUUCCAAUACAGCUCUUCAGCACUGA
rnacentral:lncRNA from 14 species